GAUAAACGCUAGCGGCAGGCUUAACGCAUGCAAGUCGAGGGGCAGCAUAGAUUGUAGCAAUACAAUUGGUGGCGACCGGCGCACGGGUGCGUAACGCGUAUGCAGCCUACCCGUCACAGGGGGAUAAUCCGGAGAAAUCUGGUCUAAUACCCCAUAACAUAUGGAUCGGCAUCGGUUCAUGUUGAAAUUUUCGGAGGUGACGGAUGGGCAUGCGUAGCAUUAGCUUGUUGGUGAGGUAACGGCUCACCAAGGCGACGAUGCUUAGGGGGACUGAGAGGUUUUCCCCCCACACUGGUACUGAGACACGGACCGGACUCCUACGGGAGGCAGCAGUGAGGAAUAUUGGUCAAUGGGCGCAAGCCUGAACCAGCCAUGCCGCGUGCAGGAUGACGGCUCUAUGGGUUGUAAACUGCUUUUGUACGAGGGUAAAGUGGGUUACGUGUAACCUUUUGAAAGUAUCGUACGAAUAAGGAUCGGCUAACUCCGUGCCAGCCGCCGCCGCAG
rnacentral:rRNA from 1 species